AACCUAGCACACCUGCGGUGUGUACCUGCGGAAGGAUCAUUACAUGAUUUAACAGGGAGUGGAGGCUUCGGCCAAAGCUCUGUCUGAACCCAUGUCUUUUGCGUACUUCUUGUUUCCUCGGUGGGCUUGCCCACCGAUAGGACAACCUUAAACUCUUUGCAAUUGCAAUCAGCGUCUGAAAAACUAUAAUAGUUACAACUUUUAACAAUGGAUCU
rnacentral:misc_RNA from 1 species